AUUGAACGCUGGCGGCAUGCUUUACACAUGCAAGUCGAACGGUAACAGGCCUUCGGGUGCUGUCGAGUGGCGAACGGGUGAGUAAUGCAUCGGCACGUGCCCAGAGGUGGGGGAUAACGCAGCGAAAGCUGUGCUAAUACCGCAUGUGAUCUGAGAAUGAAAGCGGGGGACCAGGCAGCAAUGUUUGGCCUCGCGCCUUUGGAGCGGCCGAUGUCGGAUUAGGUAGUUGGUGGGGUAAAGGCCUACCAAGCCGACGAUCCGUAGCUGAUCUGAGAGGACGACCGGCCACACUGGAACUGAGACACGGCCCAGACUCCUACGGGAGGCAGCAGUGGGGAAUUUUGGGCAAUGGGCGCAAGCCUGAUCGAGCAAUGCCGCGUGAGGGAAGAAGGCCUUCGGGUUGUAAACCGCUGUUGUUCGGAACGAAAAGGCGCUGGCUAAUACCUGGGGGUGAUGACGGUACCGAAAGAAUAAGCACCGGCUAACUACGUG
rnacentral:rRNA from 1 species